CCCGGGCGGCGCCACGUGAUCUCCAGCGUCCGCCGCCUCACCCAGGCCUGUUCAGCGGCGGCCGGCUUCGAGGUAACAUGGCUCUCGAAUGUGCCAAUGGUGGAUACUGUGAGCUGGGCUUGCCCAACUGUCAAGAGGAAUGGGGUGUGAAUAAAAUCGGCAUGGUCGCAAAGGGAACUUGAUCAGAGGCUGUUGAAAUGGAGAUGCAUCUGUUCGACCCAAACUGACUAGGAGUUGGCUGAGUUGGCUUCCAGGCUGAAAUGCUGUAAAGGUUGCUCCCCUGAACUUCAAAGGAUGACCAACAUCAUAAACUUCGAUGCCCCUUAUGACCUCUGAAGUGCUUCAAAGAGGAUUUGAAGUUCCUUCCAAAUUCCUUCAGUGGAAGAUCCUCAUUGCUUGAGAAUUGCAACUGGAUGACUGGAGAUACAAAGAUUUUCUUGAGGGUACCUGUUGGUGUUGGCCUUACCUCCUAAGCAUGGAGGUAACACUUCUCUUUGGAGAGAUUUAUGUUAACUGUUGAAAAUACUUCUGAAAUUGCUUUGGUCAAAUUACUUGGUACUGCCAGCUAUUGUAUUAAUUCCGACUAGUAAGAGUGGUUUUGAAUUUGUUUGGCCACUUUUUUCUUCUUUUUUUUUUUUUUCCUCCUUCCAAUGGGCAUUACCCCUCGUGUGGCCAGGGCUGUAAACUUUCGCCCCCAUUUUUUGUUCCCUUCAGAUAUUGUUACCUUCUAAUGCAAGUAGACGCUGAAGUUUUUUUUUUUUUUAUUUUUUUUAUUACAUUAGAAGCAUUGUAAACGUGUUUUGAAUGCUAAAGCUUAUUUUACAGUAACCUUACUGGCUUUCUUGUGAAUUAAAUUUCCGAGCUUCCAUUUUUCCUCUGUUAAGGAUCUGUUGUAUUCUAUAUUCACAUGAAUAAAUUGUCUUGAAUGUC